rnacentral:rRNA from 1 species
GAGGUAGUGACAAGAAAUAACAAUACGGGGCUUUAUGUCUUGUAAUUGGAAUGAUGGGAAUUUAAACCUCUUCCAGAGUAUCAAUUGGAGGGCAAGUCUGGUGCCAGCAGCCGCGGUAAUUCCAGCUCCAAUAGCGUAUAUUAAAAUUGUUGCAGUUAAAAAGCUCGUAGUUGAAUUUCUGCUGCAUUGCAUCUUCUUUUUGAUGAGUUGGUGUAUUGUGGCUUAUUUCGGAUGAUACUUGUAUUAUCCGGAUGAUUACUUUGAGAAAAUUAGAGUGCUCAAAGCAGGCUUUUGCCUUGAAUAGUUUAGCAUGGAAUAAUAAAGUAGGACUUUGGUUCUAUUUUGUUGGUUUUAGGUACCAAAGUAAUGGUUAAUAGGAACAGUUGGGGGCAUUCGUAUUUAACUGUCAGAGGUGAAAUUCUUAGAUUUGUUAAAGACGAACUACUGCGAAAGCAUUUGCCAAGGAUGUUUUCAUUAAUCAAGAACGAAAGUUAGGGGAUCGAAGA